rnacentral:rRNA from 1 species
GAUGAACGCUGACAGAAUGCUUAACACAUGCAAGUCAACUUGAAUUUGGGUUUUUAACUUAGGUUUGGGUGGCGGACGGGUGAGUAACGCGUAAAGAACUUGCCUCACAGCUAGGGACAACAUUUGGAAACGAAUGCUAAUACCUAAUAUUAUGAUAAUAGGGCAUCCUAUAAUUAUGAAAGCUAUAAGCGCUGUGAGAGAGCUUUGCAUCCCAUUAGCUAGUUGGAGAGGUAACGGCUCACCAAGGCGAUGAUGGGUAGCCGGCCUGAGAGGGUGAUCGGCCACAAGGGGACUGAGACACGGCCCUUACUCCUACGGGAGGCAGCAGUGGGGAAUAUUGGACAAUGGACCGAGAGUCUGAUCCAGCAAUUCUGUGUGCACGAUGAAGUUUUUCGGAAUGUAAAGUGCUUUCAGUUGGGAAGAAAAAAAUGACGGUACCAACAGAAGAAGUGACGGCUAAAUACGUGCCAGCAGCCGCGGUAAUACGUAUGUCACGAGCGUUAUCCGGAUUUAUUGGGCGUAAAGCGCGUCUAGGUGGUUAUGUAAGUCUGAUGUGAAAAUGCAGGGCUCAACUCUGUAUUGCGUUGGAAACUGUAUAACUAGAGUACUGGAGAGGUAAGCGGAACUACAAGUGUAGAGGUGAAAUUCGUAGAUAUUUGUAGGAAUGCCGAUGGGGAAGCCAGCUUACUGGACAGAUACUGACGCUGAAGCGCGAAAGCGUGGGUAGCAAACAGG